rnacentral:rRNA from 1 species
AUUGAACGCUGGCGGAAUGCUUUACACAUGCAAGUCGAACGAUGAACCUAGCUUGCUAAGGGGAUUAGUGGCGAACGGGUGAGUAAUAUAUCGGAACGUGCCUUGUAAUGGGGGAUAACUAGUCGAAAGAUUGGCUAAUACCGCAUACGCCCUGAGGGGGAAAGUAGGGGAUCUUCGGACCUUACGUUAUAAGAGCGGCCGAUAUCUGAUUAGCUAGUUGGUGGGGUAAUGGCCUACCAAGGCGACGAUCAGUAGCUGGUCUGAGAGGACGACCAGCCACACUGGAACUGAGACACGGUCCAGACUCCUACGGGAGGCAGCAGUGGGGAAUUUUGGACAAUGGGCGAAAGCCUGAUCCUGCCAUUCCGCGUGAGUGAAGAAGGCCUUCGGGUUGUAAAGCUCUUUCGCAAGGGAAGAAAACUUACAUUCUAAUAAAGUGUGAGGCUGACGGUACCUUGAUAAGAAGCACCGGCUAACUACGUGCCAGCAGCCGCGGUAAUACGUAGGGUGCGAGCGUUAAUCGGAAUUACUGGGCGUAAAGCGUGCGCAGGCGGUUUGGCAAGUCAGAUGUGAAAUCCCCGAGCUCAACUUGGGAACUGCGUUUGAAACUGCCAGACUAGAAUAUGUCAGAGGGGGGUAGAAUUCCACGUGUAGCAGUGAAAUGCGUAGAGAUGUGGAGGAAUACCAAUGGCGAAGGCAGCCCCCUGGGAUAAUAUUGACGCUCAUGCACGAAAGCGUGGGGAGCAAACAGG